UCUUACCGGUAAAAACGGGCCAGCUACAUUUCCUGGUUAUAAGCAAACCACAAUAUCCAGAAUUCAUAGUGAUUUCAGGGUCUAGUACCGCCCCAUGGAGGAGUAUCCAAUUGAUGUGAGAAAUAUACAAAUGUAUGUUUGUAGCCAGCACUUUCAGCCAGAGGAUUUCGAAACGGAACUGAAGUGAUGGGGUUGCCAUUUAGUUGAACAUUGAAAAGUGAUGCUGUUCCAUCGAUUUCCCCCUUCUCUUCAAAGAGAAAGGCAUCCGAUCAGCCAACAUCAGCGCAGCAGAAAAGAAGCCAAGCUGAGUCCGAUCGCAUCAACAUCUGCAGCGGCAUCAACAUCAAGCUCAACACCAGGAACUAACUACUCCUGCUGCUGAUGAUGACGACCUUGACACCAGCUUUCGUAUUACAGAGCCUGUAGACCCAUUGGAUGAACGCUUUGAGCCUGGAAUAAGCUCAAGCUCAACAUAAUCUUACUUUGAAACAAGCCAGGACAGCCAAAAGGAGACUUGCAGUACAUACAAAUCUUCUGCAAGAGGUCGAAGCAGUGGGUGGUGAAGAACAUCGCCAAAGCCUGCUAAACCAGCUGCCAUUACCCUACACAUGCAGAGGUUCACCAGCUGAAGAACAUUCUGGAAUAUUCAACUAACACAACAUCCAUAUUCAGUUAGACUGAUGUUCUAGUAUAAUAUAGAUUAAAUGAUGCCGACUGGUUCAUGAUUUCGACUGGCUGAGAAACGCUGUCUGUCUCGUCCCAACUCCCGACACGUUCA